rnacentral:rRNA from 1 species
GUGGGGAAUCUUGCGCAAUGGGCGAAAGCCUGACCCAGCAACGCCGCGUGAGGGAAGAAGGCCUUCGGGUUGUAAACCUCUGUCCUUGGUGACGAAACAAAUGACGGUAGCCAAGGAGGAAGCCCCGGCUAACUACGUGCCAGCAGCCGCGGUAAUACGUAGGGGGCGAGCGUUGUCCGGAAUUACUGGGCGUAAAGGGUGCGUAGGUGGCCUUUUAAGUUGGAUGUGAGAUACCCGGGCUUAACUUGGGGGGUGCAUCUAAUACUGGAGGGCUAGAGUGCAGGAGAGGGAAGCGGAAUUCCUAGUGUAGCGGUGAAAUGCGUAGAUAUUAGGAGGAACACCAGUGGCGAAGGCGGCUUUCUGGACUGUAACUGACACUGAGGCACGAAAGCGUGGGGAGCAAACAGGAUUAGAUACCCGAGUAGUCC